UACGUAGGGGGCAAGCGUUGUCCGGAUUUAUUGGGCGUAAAACGCUCGCAGGUGGUUCGAUGCGUCGUGCGUGAAAGACCCCGGCUCAACUGGGGAGGGUCGUGCGAUACGGUCGAACUGGAGGCCAGUAGGGGGAUGCGGAAUUCCGGGUGUAGUGGUGGAAUGCGUAGAGAUCCGGAGGAACACCAGCGGCGAAGGCGGCAUCCUGGACUGGUCCUGACACUCAGGAGCGAAAGCGUGGGGAGCGAUCCGG
rnacentral:rRNA from 1 species